CGAACGCUGGCGGCGUGCCUAAUACUUGCAAGUCGAGCGGACCGAACAGGAGCUUGCUCUUGUUCGGUUAGCGGCGGACGGGUGAGUAACACGUGGGUAACCUGCCCGUAAGACCGGGAUAACUCCGGGAAACCGGAGCUAAUACCGGAUAACACCGAAGACCGCAUGGUCUUUGGUUGAAAGGCGGCUUCGGCUGCCACUUACGGAUGGGCCCGCGGCGCAUUAGCUAGUUGGUGAGGUAACGGCUCACCAAGGCGACGAUGCGUAGCCGGCCUGAGAGGGUGACCGGCCACACUGGGACUGAGACACGGCCCAGACUCCUACGGGAGGCAGCAGUAGGGAAUCUUCCGCAAUGGACGAAAGUCUGACGGAGCGACGCCGCGUGAGCGAAGAAGGUCUUCGGAUCGUAAAGCUCUGUUGUUAGGGAAGAAGAAGCGUCGUUCGAACAGGGCGGCGCGGUGACGGUACCUAACGAGAAAGCCCCGGCUAACUACGUG
rnacentral:rRNA from 1 species